UCGAACAAAGACGGCGUGACCGUCGCGGUUUUUCCAACCGUUUCUCCCUUGCUUAUCUGUACCUUUGUUUCCUCGGCGGGUUCGCCCGCCGCUGGACCCUUUGUUCAACGCUUCUGCUGUACCCAGUGUUGUCUGAGCGUUACGCACCAAUUGUCA
rnacentral:misc_RNA from 1 species